rnacentral:rRNA from 1 species
UUAAAUUGAAGAGUUUGAUCAUGGCUCAGAUUGAACGCUGGCGGCAGGCCUAACACAUGCAAGUCGAACGGUAACAGGAAGCAGCUUGCUGCUUUGCUGACGAGUGGCGGACGGGUGAGUAAUGUCUGGGAAGCUGCCUGAUGGAGGGGGAUAACUACUGGAAACG